GAUGAACGCUAGCUACAGGCUUAACACAUGCAAGUCGAGGGGCAUCAGGAACAAAGCUUGCUUUGUUUGCUGGCGACCGGCGCACGGGUGCGUAACGCGUAUCGAAACCUGCCCUAUACUCGGGGAUAGCCUUGCGAAAGUAAGAUUAAUACCCGAUGUUGUUAUUACAUCGCAUGAUGUUUUAACCAAAGAUUUAUCGGUAUAGGAUGGCGAUGCGUGACAUUAGGUAGUAGGUGAGGUAACGGCUCACCUAGCCUACGAUGUCUAGGGGUUCUGAGAGGAAGGUCCCCCACACUGGAACUGAGACACGGUCCAGACUCCUACGGGAGGCAGCAGUGAGGAAUAUUGGUCAAUGGUCGAGAGACUGAACCAGCCAAGUAGCGUGCAGGAUGACGGCCCUCUGGGUUGUAAACUGCUUUUAGUGGGAAUAAAAGGGAGUACGUGUACUCUGUAUUGUAUGUACCAUCAGAAAAAGCGCUAAUUCCGUGCCAG
rnacentral:rRNA from 1 species